rnacentral:rRNA from 1 species
UACGUAGGGGGCAAGCGUUGUCCGGAAUCAUUGGGCGUAAAGAGCGCGUAGGCGGCCCUGUAAGUCCGCUGUGAAAGUCAAGGGCUCAACCCUUGAAUGCCGGUGGAUACUGCAGGGCUAGAGUACGGAAGAGGCGAGUGGAAUUCCUGGUGUAGCGGUGGAAUGCGCAGAUAUCAGGAGGAACACCGGUGGCGAAGGCGGGACUCUGGGCCGAUACUGACGCUGAGGAGCGAAAGCGUGGGGAGCAAACAGG